rnacentral:rRNA from 1 species
GACGAACGCUGGCGGCGUGCCUAAUACAUGCAAGUAGAACGCAGUUGCGAACGGGUGAGUAACGCGUAGGGAACCUGCCUCAAAGCGGGGGAUAACUAUUGGAAACGAGAGCUAAUACCGCAUACUGUGAGAUGGACCUGCGUUGUAUUAGCUAGUUGGUGAGUUAAAGGCUCACCAAGGCGACGAUACAUAGCCGACCUGAGAGGGUGAUAGGCACCACUGGGACUGAGACACGGCACAGACUCCUACGGGAGGCAGCAGUGGGGAAUAUUGCACAAUGGGCGCAAGCCUGAUGCAGCCAUGCCGCGUGUAUGAAGAAGGCCUUAGGGUUGUAAAGUACUUUCAGUGGGGAGGCGUUACCCGCAGAAGAAGCACCGGCUAACUCCGUGCCAGCAGCCGCGGUAAUAC